GGAAAGCAAAAUAGAUGGCAAUCUACCGAGCAUAAAUUCCUGAAUCAUAAUCCAUGACUUAAUUAAUACAAUGGAUAUGUCAUACAUGUGGCUAGCCUCAUUUACCUUCAAGCCAAAAUAGGAAUACAUGUCAUCAAUUGGAUGGUUUGUGAAGUUCUGCCAGUUCAGCACCCAGCCUCUCAGAAGCUCCUUCCUCUUAAUUUCAACAUCCAGAGGAAAAACUUGUUUAACAAUGCCUGCAGAUUCCAACCUCCGCAUCAAAGAUUCCCCAACUUCCCAGAGAUAUUCUUUGCUGUCCCAUUUUAACAUUGUAUCUACCUUGCUCUUGUUUACAAUCCCAUAUAACAAAUGAUGGUAGCACUCAAAACGUUCACACCAGCUAAACAAUGAGCCAUCCGGUUGUCUCACGAAUGCUUUGACUUCCUCCCACUCAAACUGUAGAUCCAUUCCAAUAUAAGUAAGCUUCUUCAUUUGCAACUCAGCUGCAGCUUUCCCCAAUGUCUGUAGAGGUGCUGCCAACUUGAUGAACUCAUCUGUCAGGCCAAGAGCUCUGUCUACUAUAAAUCCCACAUUCUUCAACUCCUUGACAAGAACCUCAACGCAGUCACAUUUCUUAUCUUCUUUCUUCACAGUAGUCCUGGGAACCACCACGCAUAUCUCAAAAGCAGUUUGUUUUUCUCCAUGAUCAUUCAUUUCCAAUCCCACUCACCCCUUCAAACUCAAAAUUGACAGAAGAAAUGACCAAAAAAAGGGAAAAUUUUACAGAAGUUCCAAGGAUUAAAAGAAGCUUGAAUCAACCAAAUAGGCGAUUCAUGGCUGAUUUGGCACAAAGAAAAUGAUGAGCCAACACGUUUGCCAUUAAAUAAGGAAAGUAUCAAUUAGCAAAUGGUGACCUUUUAACUAAAACCCAAACGAGUUGCUAUGUUCACAACCAACCAACCCUGAUACCACAAAAUAGAUCAGAGUUUCUCUUGAAAUGGCUCAAACAGAAAAUGGUAUUUUUUUACCUUCAGCUCAAAACAAAGCUAGAGAGAUCAAUAUCCACCAAAAUGAUAAUAUGGGUUCCUGACAAAAUAGCACAUA
rnacentral:misc_RNA from 1 species